ensembl:ncRNA C18A11.10 ncRNA
CUUAGUUUCCAUUUCCCACCCACGUUUCAUCAAUUUCGCCUUCGUGUUAGACGAGCAGAUAAACGUAAUACGAAUCGCGUUGGCAUAUGUCGCGAAGAUAUUUGCUCAUUUAACCGACCGAGCGGGACCUCCUCAU